ACGCUGGCGGCGUGCCUAAUACAUGCAAGUCGAACGAACUCUGGUAUUGAUUGGUGCUUGCAUCAUGAUUUACAUUUGAGUGAGUGGCGAACUGGUGAGUAACACGUGGGAAACCUGCCCAGAAGCGGGGGAUAACACCUGGAAACAGAUGCUAAUACCGCAUAACAACUUGGACCGCAUGGUCCGAGUUUGAAAGAUGGCUUCGGCUAUCACUUUUGGAUGGUCCCGCGGCGUAUUAGCUAGAUGGUGGGGUAACGGCUCACCAUGGCAAUGAUACGUAGCCGACCUGAGAGGGUAAUCGGCCACAUUGGGACUGAGACACGGCCCAAACUCCUACGGGAGGCAGCAGUAGGGAAUCUUCCACAAUGGACGAAAGUCUGAUGGAGCAACGCCGCGUGAGUGAAGAAGGGUUUCGGCUCGUAAAACUCUGUUGUUAAAGAAGAACAUAUCUGAGAGUAACUGUUCAGGUAUUGACGGUAUUUAACCAGAAAGCCACGGCUAACUACGUGCCAGCAGCCGCGGUAAUACGUAGGUGGCAAGCGUUGUCCGGAUUUAUUGGGCGUAAAGCGAGCGCAGGCGGUUUUUUAAGUCUGAUGUGAAAGCCUUCGGCUCAACCGAAGAAGUGCAUCGGAAACUGGGAAACUUGAGUGCAGAAGUAGGACAGUGGAACUCCAUGUGUAGCGGUGAAAUGCGUAGAUAUAUGGAAGAACACCAGUGGCGAAGGCGGCUGUCUGGUCUGUAACUGACGCUGAGGCUCGAAAGUAUGGGUAGCAAACAGGAUUAGAUACCCUGGUAGUCCAUACCGUAAACGAUGAAUGCUAAGUGUUGGAGGGUUUCCGCCCUUCAGUGCUGCAGCUAACGCAUUAAGCAUUCCGCCUGGGGAGUACGGCCGCAAGGCUGAAACUCAAAGGAAUUGACGGGGGCCCGCACAAGCGGUGGAGCAUGUGGUUUAAUUCGAAGCUACGCGAAGAACCUUACCAGGUCUUGACAUACUAUGCAAAUCUAAGAGAUUAGACGUUCCCUUCGGGGACAUGGAUACAGGUGGUGCAUGGUUGUCGUCAGCUCGUGUCGUGAGAUGUUGGGUUAAGUCCCGCAACGAGCGCAACCCUUAUUAUCAGUUGCCAGCAUUAAGUUGGGCACUCUGGUGAGACUGCCGGUGACAAACCGGAGGAAGGUGGGGGAUGACGUCAAAUCAUCAUGCCCCUUAUGACCUGGGCUACACACGUGCUACAAUGGAUGGUACAACGAGUUGCGAACUCGCGAGAGUAAGCUAAUCUCUUAAAGCCAUUCUCAGUUCGGAUUGUAGGCUGCAACUCGCCUACAUGAAGUCGGAAUCGCUAGUAAUCGCGGGAUCAGCA
rnacentral:rRNA from 1 species